rnacentral:lncRNA from 1 species
GACAUUAUUGAAUAUAUAUUGGUAAAUUAGGGUGGCUAUGAAUAUUCACGAUUCUUCUGAAUGGACCAACCACAAUGACUGACAAUAGGCAAAGGAUAGAGGGGGUGGAAAUGAGGGAUCGAACAAGCAGGUGCCACGAGUCCUAUUCCGGCAGAUACGUCUGAUUCACUCUUACCAACUCUGCUCCCAAGAUGUUUCUCUAUCAGAGCAGUGGCAAAGCUGAUAGGUAGCAAGAGGGAGUCUCACCCACAGGUUAAAUAUUCCACUCUUCCCAGGCAAGUUAGAGCAGCUCAUCAUGUCUUUUGGCAAAUCAAUUUCAGAGCAUUUGUUCUUGGCAUCUGGCAAACCAGUAGGUCACAGUUUCAAAUCCAGGAUCUUAAUAACCACACCUGGGAGAGACUUUAGACGACCUCUGCACAGUCUCAUACAAAAUGAAGCUUCAGUCUCAGCUCAGUUCUUAAUAGAGAAAUGUCUGCAUCACUCAGCUGAUGCCAGCAGUUAACAGAAGGAAAAGCUACCAGGUUUCCCCUCCUUAUCUUGAUAUAUGGAGCUGGUGAGAAUGUGUCUGGUCAUACGGGUGGAAAGCUGCAGACAUCAAAAUCAUCAACGGAGCCCUUUCACAAGCAUAAAAUUCAAACUGCUUCGCCAGCAUCCGGGUUCUGAAGAGGAGGACUGGUCAGGUCAUCUGAAAGGUCUUCCUUCCAAAGAACGCAGGCUCCUCACAAACACCACCCAAAAACAAUGAGGUGGAGACAAUGUACUCAUUGUUUUAUGUUAAAUAUUGAAAUUACGUUCAAUAUUGAAAAUAUGAAAGAGAAAGGAUGUGUGCAAUUCAGCAUCUGAAUUUACAUCCCUUUAGAGCAAGAUCAUAUAAUAAAAUUAAAAAAAAAAACUUUCUUAAAACUUACGUUAACCUUCACACCAUAGAAGAAUAUGACUUACAAUACACAGGUUUUCUUCCCUCCUCUUCCACCAUACCAGGUAAAUGUUAUUUUCUUGUCCUUAUGAUUUUCUUAACAACAUUUUCUUUUUCUCUAGCUUUUAUUAUUGUAAGAUACAAUAUAUAGUGCAUAUAACACACAAAAUAUGUGUUGAUUGACUAUAUAUGUUACUAGCAAGGUUUCUGGCCAACAGCAGGCUAUUAGUAGCUAAGUUUUUGGGGAGUCAAAAGUUGUAGGUGGCUUUUUGGCUGAGGAGGGUUAGUGGCCCUAACCUUUUCAUUGUUCAAAGGUCAACUAGAUACAAUACAUAUGUGAAUAUGCAUAUAUGUGUAUAGGUAUAUAUGUGUAUAUGUAUACAUGUCUGUAUGUAUAUAUAUGUAUGUGUAUAUGUAUAUAAGAGUGUAUAUAUUUGUAACACAUGCACGCAAACAUGCACGUAUAAAUCUUAUUAGAAAUUAAUAAGAACUGUGAAAAGAAAGCAAGCAGCACAAGGGGUCAAGAGACUCAGGAGCUCUUCUGAGAUGGGGUGUGGCAGGGAAGCCCUUCUGAAAACUUGGCAUUUGAAUGGAAGCUUACAAAGGUCUUGAAGGAGAGCACCAAGCCAGGCUUCCCAUCAAGUGCAAAGUCCUGUAGCAGAACGAGGUGGGGGCAUCUGGAGAGCACCAGAAAGGCCCACGUGGCAGUGGCAAAGGGGCUGAAGGCUGAGUGGUGGGUGGGAGAUGAGGGCUGACCUGGGGUCAGGCUCCAGACCAGAGGGGCUCGUAGGCCAUAGUGAGUAGUAUGAGCUACUUUCCAAUUGUGGAGAGCUUUGAGUCUAAAAAAAUUUAAUCUGACUUUCAUUAAAAAAGAUUAUUCUGACUACUUAGUGGAAAACAUCUUGUAAAAUAAGUUAAAGGAAAUGAUUAAUAUCUGCUCCAUUAUUUCAGUCCUAGGUCCAAAUUAUUUUGCACAACCAUACUAACUCUUUUCCAGUUUCAAUACACCGACCGUAAUUUGUCAAUACAGUUACUGUUAUCAAAGUGCAAUUUCCACCUAGAAGAUAUAAGUAAAAACCACAUCACAACUAGAGGUUCCCAGUGGUGAGCUGCUGUCUCUCAAGGUGUACAAAGAGAUGAUUCACUGCUAGGGCAUUGUAGGAGUAGUAUCUACGUUCGGGGACACUAACCUUGGGUACCUCUGAGAUCCUGUCUUUUUUGAGAGUUGCUAAUUCUCUGGAUUUCUUUGCUUUCUAUUUUAAUAAUAUAGAUGGCACACGAUUCUAGGUUUAAGAUAAGACAUGGAGAGUUUAGUGGAUAUUGCGUUGGGCUCUCCACAUCUCGUUAGGACUCAAAACACUCCUUCCAUCAGCUGCUGGGCAUGGCGGUAGCAGAUCAGCUGCCAGCCUCUUCCAAAAAUGUCCCUGGCUGGAGAGAGCAGCCUAGCCCAAGGUCAUGCCUCUUCCUAAGGAAUUCUGUAUUAGCCUUUGGUUAGUGUAGGGGAAUAAAGACCUGACCCCCUUGCCUCAACUGGAGACCACAUUGAAGGGCUUUUAUCUUCAGAGCUCCCCAAGGUCAGCUGGACUCUGUUGAGUCCGGCUUCUCCCUCCCAGUCCUGCCUUGUUCCCAUCCCUUCCUCCAUGUGGGUCCCCAUAGGUAUCCUCACUCAGUCUCCUGCCCCAUAAGCUCAGGUUCUGUGUCUGCAGCCUGGGGAGCCCCAGUAGAACUAUUGUGUAAGAAAAUAGGCCGGUCGUGGUGGCUCGUUCCUGUAAUCCCAGCACUUUUGGAGGCCAAGGCGGGCGGAUCAAGAGGUCAGGAGAUCGAGACCAUCCUGGCUAACACGGUGAAACCCCCUCUCUACUAAAAAUACAAAAAAUUAGCCAGGCAUGGUGGCAUGUGCCUGUAGUCCCAGCUACUAGGGAGGCUGAGGCAGGAGAAUCGCUUCAACCUGGGAGGCGGAGGUUGCAGUAAGCUGAGAUUGUGCCACUGCACUCCAGCCUGGACGACACAGCAAGACUCUUUCUCAAAAAAAAAAAAAAAAAAAAAGAAAAAGAAAAAGAAAAUGCCUUUGAUGUCAUGUAUGCAAUGGGAGCCCAGGGCUCUUGUUAGAGUCUUGAAGGUGCCUUCGUCACGUUUGGCUUGCGGGGGCUAACAGCCAGCGAGUUGUGUCACACUGUGUUCAGAGAAAGGGGCUGCUCUGGGAAUUUCCAACCAUGCUCCAUGGAGGGAUCAGCGUGUGCACAGUGCUGGGCACACUUCGGUAGCUCAGUAAACAUGUACUAAAAAUUAAAAAUAUAAACUGCAAACCUUUACCCUGUGCUUGGAUUUGGAAGAUCCUGUAGACCAUUCUGAGCCACAGAGCACACGUGGGUGCUAGGGACAAGACCAACUCUGGAGGUGAGGGAUGACCUCCGCAGAUUCUUGGUCAGAGGGCUAUGUGAGAAAGAGAUAAAACAGGCCUAUAGUCCUGCCACAUGCUCUGCAGACUGCAAAGGAAAACUGGGCUAUCCAGCAAGGUUGACCGAGAAAACAGAGCAGCACUGUUAGAGAAAUUCAGAAAUCAUUUAAAAGACAGAAAAGUUUACUCUCUCAAAUAUCGUGAGCAAAUGCUGCAAAGUAUAACUUCACCUCCCCCCAAUUUUAUAUCUUCCUCUGAUAUUUUAUCAUAAUACUUUUAUGGCUUCUUCUGAAGUGUUUUGAUAUGAUAAUUUUUUUGCAGGUACCUUUCAUAUGCAUCAGCUUAUUGGCAUCAACAAGUUAGAUAAUAAAUUUAGCUACAAUACAGAACUACAAUAAACAUAAUAUGUACGGUAUAAAGGUCACUGGAACCAAGUUGACAUUUUGUUGUAUUUCAGCAUAAAAAUACAGGGCAACUUUUGUGAACAUUAUUAAUAAUUUGAAUUCUGUACAACCAAAGACAUCCAAACAUAUUGUCUUAAAAGAAUAAAUGCUCAGUCAAUGCACAAUAAGUUUCUGAUUAAAGUUCAUUACCUUUUUGAGUCCACCUCGCUGGAUUUUGUGAAAAUAGAUCCUUCACACACAACAAAGAAGGAACUUUCUGGAAGGCUGUACUCUGGAACUGCAGACUUCUCUCUCAAGUCAAGUACAUUUCUGUUUUUCUUAAAGCUGCAAAACUACAACAAUGUUUAUAUUCAUAUGAAGUAUUUCAGCAAUUCAUAGCCAAUUUAUCAAUGACCACGCAGCUGCAGGCACUGCAGUUUAAAAAAAUAUACCAGCUCACUUAGUGUUUACAUAGGCUCUGAAAGCCCCACGUCCUGGCAGGGGGACGGGAGCCACCGGAGUCAUUAGAAAGACUUUGCAACCUGCAAGGAUACAUAGAUCAUGCUUGUUUGUUUUGAAACCCCAGAAAAAAAUGAUAAUGGGAGCUCAUCACCAGUGAAUUAGCCUUUGAAUGCAUGCUGCCUCUCUGAACAACUGUGAGAAUUCAAAAGUAUAUCCAUUGGAUCAACUGACAAUUUUGGGGGCCUCCUGUGGCAAAAUCAUCUUACUAGAUGACUUCAACAGAAAAGGGAUGUGGAAGAGAAACGAUCCCAAUUUUUUCAGUUAAGAUCCUUCCAGAAGAACCACAGCCGUUGUUGAUGAAUCUGGGUGUGGGUAGAGCUUGUCCGCUGGAGGUGACGCAGACACCAUCACUACAGUGUAAACACCAUUCAUGCAACUGCAGCCACCACCGGGGCCACUGGCCAGACCACCACUUCCCAGAGCCCAGAUACUGCAGCAGCUAUAAAUAGCUUUGUAGAAUUACAUUAGGUGAGACAGCCCAAUAUCCCAUUGCAUGAGCAAUGUGGAAUUUUGAAUAAAAAGUAGUUUAAAUGGCAUUUUGGUUUCAGUAGUGAAUUAAAAGCAAGAAACAAAUCACAGAAGAGGGACAAACAGAUGUUUCUCUGAUAGCUGGAUUCCUUAGAAAAUUGACUAUAAAUUCCAUGAAGAUAAUUAUUAGCACUGGAUUAUACAAUCAGCAUGAUUUGCCUGGUUAUCUACAAAAUCAUUAAAAAGUAUAAGAAGAAUCAAAUGUAUACUGUGUACCAAGCAGGAACUGCUGUUGGUCUUCGUUGAAAUCCUGUCUGCAAAUCUUUUUGUAUAACUUAAUUAGCAAAGUUAAAAUUAAGAUGAGGCUCCAGUGUGUUUAGAUACAACAAUUUCUAUGAGAGGACACUUCAUUAAAACAUUUAAUAACACAGCAAACUCUCAGUUAUCAAAGAAAUCUCUUUACAAAAACUGUUUUUGCCAAUGAAUAAAAUGAUUCAAUCU